rnacentral:tRNA from 1 species
GCCUUCGUGGUGCAGUGGUCAACACGGUCGGCGCGUAUUCGAGAGGUCCUGGUUCGAGUCCCGGCGAGGGCA